UCCCUGAUGGCUCAGAUGGUAAAGCAUCUGCCUGCAAUGCAGGAGAUCCAGGUUCGAUCCCUGGGUCUGGAA
rnacentral:tRNA from 1 species